UAUCCUUUGAUAAGAACGACAUAUGGCCGUGCUUGGGUUCGGAUGAUGAACAGGAUGAUUGGUUACCAGGCUCACCAUGGGAUCAACACGGUCCUGUGUGGCUAAGUUUAAUCAGAUAGGAAUACUUAACACUUUCAGUUCCUGACUGAUGUAGGAGCAGCCGCCGUCCCUCUGGGUCCCAUCGUUUCAUUGGGACAGGCUUUGGCUCACCUCGUUCGAGAACUGCCCGCUCUCUGGAGUAACCACCUUUGUGACACUCUCUGCUCCCAGUCCCCCGUGGCGCCCACCAGGAGGCAUCCUCAGCUGAACUUCCUACUUUAAGAGAACAUUUUCAUUUUUCACUUUCAUCAACAAAAAGAUUAUUUCUACCAGGAAAUAAAGCUAAUAUGAACUGCCUUAAGUUGAUGUAUCAAUCUCAUUUGCUACUUGCAUGCCAAGGAGAACUUGUGCUACAUCAUCCCUCCUGGUCCUGGGGCUCCACUACAAGCUCCGCUACCGGGCACUGAACCAGCCCCACAAAGGACGUGCUCCAGCCUUAAUCCCCCAGCUGCGUGUGGGCCCAUCUGCAAACAGGACCUUUAGGAUGCAGCCGUCACUUACCCCGAGGACACGGCUGCAAGCAGGAUCCCCAGGGCGCUUAUCUGGCUGGGGACAGCUUGGAUCGGGGUGGGCCUAAAUCCAUGAGACUCGCAUCCUCGUAGGCAGAGGAGACUCGGAUGUGCUCAGAAGAGGCCGGAAGCCAGAGCAGAAACCAAAGGAGCAGAGGCCAGGAGAGGCCCCCGUGUGACAGGCCUGCGGGUUGCCAGGGGCUCCGGAGGACAGCAAGGCCAAGCCCGGGGUGUGGCCCUCCAGCUGCCCACACCGGGAGGCAUGGGGCUCCUGUCGUCUCGGCCAAACCCCAUGUGGCUUUUGUCAUCGCGGCCCUAGCAGACUGAGACUACUGCCGCACAUUAAAAGAACUCCUGUCCCAAACUAUUACAAGUUAUUUUUCAGCCCCUGCAUUCUAGAUUAAUACCAACAAAGAAUACUUGGGUACACUGGGAUAAGAGGAUAAUUGUGUUGGGAACAAGGCCUGUGUACAUUUACACCACCAGAUCUCAGCCCCUGGCUUCAUUCCUGGCACAUUGGCUCCGUCGUCUGAUCUACAAGGAAGGCAGAGCUGAAAUCACCGACAGGCAGCCACUGAGCACGCGUGGACAGCACCCACAGACAGAGAAAGUGGGCACUGACCAGCCUGGAUCCAAGAAGCUGUGACAUCCCAAGAGCUGCCUGGGGACCAGCCCCCGGAACUAGCCCUCUGACUCCUGCUUAACCACGGAGAACCUUCCCAUUGAGCUCGGAACCGGCCGCAGUCAGAGAAGCUUUGCUGACCCCUCAUGUCACUCCUGGUCUGGAUGCAGUGGGGGUCUGAGCAUCAGUGGCUUCUGCUAGUGCUUGAAGAUGAACAUGGUUUGAAUCACCAGUGCUUUGGAUGCCAGCCCCGGAAAACAGCCGCAGUGCACCGCACGGUGGAGCACACAGACACCUCAGCAUGGCCGUCCUUGCAGACACCCGCCAGGCACCAGGCUUCAGCCGCAACACGCAGGUGAUAGUGAGCUCACUCAUGUUCUCCUCCAGGUAACAGCAGCCUUUAAUAAAGGUGAGAACAUUUCACUUCCUCCAUUUCUCAACAAAUGCUGGAAGCCCCACAUAUUUCUGCUCAAAUAGGAAAGGGGAAACGCAAUAUUUUGCAAACCGGUAUCUUGAUAUUCCCUUGUUCCUUCUUGAUUCAUUUCCCUACAAAUGGCUUCAAAUACUCCUAACUUAAUCUAAGUGAAAAGUGCCACUUUCUCUCCCCAUAGAAUUCUAGUGUCGCUAUCUUAGUAGACCUGUGUGAAUUCUGCUACCCAACGGUGUCACCAAAAUAUACAGAUCAGUGAAAUAAUUUUAACUCUGCAUGAACUGUUUCCGCUUGUGUAGAUGCUGGGGACGAUGACUUCCUGUAAAUGCCGGCUGGGCCCAGGCAGUUUCUCCCAGUGCCCUUCCACCCAGGUCUGCCUCAGGCUUUCUGCAGGACCCACUCAAUUCCCACUUUUGUGCCUCCACUUUUCCUUGGGCAUUUUCUUUCCUCCUUUCUUCUAUGAGCAUGUUUAUGUCUAAACAGACAUUUUUGUGAUUUGGGGCGCUUAUACUCUCCUUUUAAAUCUUAGUUUGAGGUUAGUUUACAUACCAUAAAAUUGACCCAUUUAAAACCACAGUUCAAUCAGGCUUGUGAUAAAUUUCUCCCAUGAUCGCGCCAUCACCACGAUCCAGCUUUGGAACAGCUCCAUCAUCCGCAGAUGUUUCCGCUUGCCCUUUGACCAAUCCCCACCGCCACCCAUGUGCUCACACAAGCACUGCUCUGCCUUCUGAGGCUAAUGCUUUGAAUUUUUUUUUAAACAGUGUAAAUACAGCCUUACAAUAGGUAAUUUGUGUGCCUAACUUCUUCCAUGUGUCAUGAUGCUUUUGAGACUCAUCUGCACUCUUCCAUAUAUUGGUAGUUUACUCCUUUUAUCAUUGCUUUAUUGCCAAGUUUUAUCCUAAUUUAUAUUCCACAAUUUGUUUGUUCAUUCCAGAUUUUUCUAUCCUGAAUAAUGCUACUGCAGUUAACAGCAUACAAGUCCUUGUGUCGAUAUGUUUUCCUUUCUCCUAGGUAAAUACCUACUGGUAAAAUAUACAGACAUAUGGUAAGGUGUAUUUCAUGCUUUAAGGAACUGACCAACUAUUUGACAAGAGUUUCCAAAGAGCUGAAGAAAUGUUCACAAAGGAAAGUCACAGUUGAGCUGGAAGUUAAAUACACACACACACACAGACACACACACACACCACACACACAAUGGAAUUCCCUAUUAAGGAACAUGGAAAAGCCAAUAUCCUUGGUAGAUGGGGCAACAUGCAGAAUGGCAAGAUGUGGGGGGAAUAUAAACAUCCAGAAAAUGUGCAGUUUGGUGUGACAAGCUCAGUGUGGUGAGACAGUGUCAGGAUGGACUUGGGAACCAGAGUGCACAGGUUUGAAUAACAGCUUCACGACUUAUUUAUAUGAUCUUGGGCAAGUUACUUGAUAUUUAAUCUCUUCAUGCUUUACAUUUGUCAUCUGUAAAACGGAAGGAAUACUAUUAUAUGUUGCAGGUGAUUUUGUGAAGAUUCAAUGAGUAAAUAUAUUUAAAGCAUAUAUAACAGCACCUGACCACAGUAAGCUUUAUUAUUUUUAGUAAAAUGAGCAAAAAAUAAAAAAGCCCAGGAGUUAAAUUGGGAGCAAGACUGUUUAGAAAGAUCUUGCAGGUGUAGGGAGAAGUUCAGUUAAGUUAAGAAGUUAUUAAAAUAGUAACAGACAAUUUUUUCACAUGCAAUCAGCAUGGCAAAACGCUGUUUUUAAAGAUAAAUAGAUAUUCCUAAAUUUUUUUAAGUGAGCAUUUUUCUGUUGCCUUCCUCUUCAUUUUCUCCACAAUCACAAGCAGGAUCAUUAAGAGUUUACUGAAAAUAUGGUUACUACCUAUAAAAUUCUUUGGGUUCUAAGAGCUUUCACUAAGUGAUUUGUGUUCAAGAAGCUUGUAUUUCCAGAUGUGGAAACACAGAAACACAUCCCUCAAGCUUAACAGUGCACCUUAUGGAGGGGACGUGAAUAUUUGAAAUAGUAUCCGUUUCAUAUUAAAACAAUCCAGUUCAACCAGAUAAGGCACAGAGGUGGCUACUGGCCUUCCAGAGACCAUGAAAGCCUGUUCUUCGUCUCCUGCGUUGUAGAUCUUGGAAUCACCUUGUGGAGAUCGCCCCUGGAGCUGGCCCUGCUGGCUCCCACUUAACCAUGGAGAACCUUCCCCUGAGCUCGGAACCAGCCGCUGUCAGAGCAGCAUCACUGACCCCUCGCGUCACUCCUAGCUCCUCGUGUAACUCGACGUUGUGGAGUCGAAGGAAACAGAACCCUGAGCCUGUUGCUAAGCCUGCUGGUCAUCAGACUAUGAUUCUCCAAUUUAACCCAGGACAGUGUUUCUAAGAGGACACAGACACAGAGUCAAGCCACUAUGUUUGUGCUGACUGGAAGCUGCCCUCGUGUGAUGGGAUUAAAGAUUAAAUCUUCAGCCUUCAGAUUUCCAGGCUGAAGACUACGGAAGCUGAUCCCUGAGUCACUGACUCUUGAUAUUUCCUCCCAAAACAAUAUCAAACAACAAGAAGGGAAAAAUAAACUACACAAAUUACAUACCUCCGAUGACAGACACUGCCCAAAUUCCAAAUAACUGCAAGUAAAAAUAGAAAACUCUACAGCUUUCCCUUCAUUUCUGAUGCUCCAGAUUUCCUUCUGAUGGCAUUUCCUUCCUGUGUGAAAAUCUUCUAGCAUUUCAGUUAGACAAGGUGUGCUGCCGUGAAUACUGAUGGUUUUGUUUCAUCUGAGAAGGUCUGCAUUUCGGCUUUUUUCAUGAAUGCUAUUUUCACUGAACAUAGACUUAGGGAUUGACAGGUCCUUUCCCGGGGCACUUGAAUGUUGUCUCACUUCCUUCCGCCUCCACCAUGAUCAGUCCCUUGCCAACAAUCUCCCUUUCUUAGCCUUUUUCACCUUCCAAAACCACAACUCUGCUUAAAACCAGCUUCGUCUGCCUGAACGAGGUGUGGAAACAUCACUAAUCGCAGACUCAUCGCACUCCAAAUCCGAGACCAAGGAUGUCCACCCACCAGUCAGCCCAGCCAGCGGAGCUCCUCUGGUUCUCUGGCACAGUUGACAAUCAUUUUGUUAUCUCUCCUCCCUCCACAGAACUUCAGCCACACUUCCCCAGCUCUCAGUGUCAGCUAAUAACGUUGCCACUAAUUCAGAGAAAAUAGAUAAGAUCAGUCUAAAAUUAUGUUUUCUUGCUACUAGUAAUUCCACUCUCCUGCCCUUCAUUCCCUUUUGGGCAAUCUCUUAGCAAGACCGUUGGGCCCUAUUGAGUUUCCCUUAUUCUGUGCUCUGGAAACUGCUUCCAGGGGUAAACUCCAGCAACUGCAGGGCUCAGUUCAUGAAUUUCUCUUUUCUUAGGGAUCAUCUUCUCUCACUGCCUCUUGUGUAAUACCUGAAAAUAGUUGUGUUGUAUAUUCUGUCUAGUCCUCUAAUUAUUUACAGGAGGGUGGCUGUAAUUCCUGGAGCAGUUGACACUUCAUGGGCAGAACUGGAAGCCCUCCCACCGAACGUUACAGGUUGCAGUGCUAUGCACUUCUCAUUUUUUUAAACCUCUCUUCCCUGAAUUAUCUCAUCCAGCCCACUCACUAUAACUAUUAUCUAUAUACUGAUGACUCACGUGUAUACUUUAAGAGCCCAGUCUUCAUCUCUGUCCCAUUAAAUUCAACUGCCCACUUGAAAUCUCACCUGUUAGAUCUCAGAAUUAAUCUGACCAAAACAGAACUGUUGAUUCUUUGACCUGUGAUAAGUGGAACCACCACUUGCAUAGAUGUCCAGGCGCAAAGACUAAGUCUCAUCCUUGAUUUCUCUUUCUUUAAGCUUUACAUCCUCUUUAUCAAUAAAUACCAAAGCCUCUGUCUCCAAAAUCUAUGUUCCUUUUUAUCAUUUCUCACCAUUUUCAUUGCUAUAGGCUUAAUUCAAGUCAACAAAAUUGAUCAGAUAACAUCACUUCCCUCCUUAAAACCCUCAUUGGAAAUACAGGGAAAUCAAAUACUUUUACCGUGGGCCACAAAGCCCUGUGUCAUCACCCAGUUUUGUUCCUUUGUCCUUCCCAUUCACCAUGAUUAAGUCCUGCUGCCCCACUCUGUCAUCUGAACACGGAAGCUGGUUCCUGCCCUGACGUGACAUCAGGUAGAGGGCAACUUGCACACAUGUCAUCCUUUCCUGGAGACCUAAAGCAGCCAUACCUGCUACUUUCUGUAACAUCACUAUAUUUAUCUUUAUGUUUUUACAGCAUUUAUCAGUGCUGACUCUUUGUUCAUUCAUGUAUCAUGUAUUUAAUUUUUUUCUCUUACUAGAAUGAAAAUUCCUCAUGUGCUGAGAUUUGAUUUAUUUUACUAACCAAUAAAUUAUAGUUGAAUAGAA